rnacentral:rRNA from 1 species
UGGGGAAUCUUCCGCAAUGGACGAAAGUCUGACGGAGCAACGCCGCGUGUAUGAUGAAGGUCUUCGGAUUGUAAAGUACUGUCAUUGGGGAAGAACGGUUUUCUUGAAAGAUUGAGAAGACAUGACGGUACCCAAGGAGGAAGCCCCGGCUAACUACGUGCCAGCAGCCGCGGUAAUACGUAGGGGGCAAGCGUUGUCCGGAAUUAUUGGGCGUAAAGGGCGCGUAGGCGGGCCUUUAAGUCCGGUGUGAAAGAUCAGGGCUCAACCCUGAGAGUGCAUCGGAAACUGGAGGCCUUGAGGACAGGAGAGGAAAGUGGAAUUCCACGUGUAGCGGUGAAAUGCGUAGAUAUGUGGAGGAACAUCAGUGGCGAAGGCGACUUUCUGGACUGUAACUGACGCUGAGGCGCGAAAGCGUGGGGAGCAAACAGGAUUAGAUACCCUGGUAGUCCACGCCGUAAACGAUGAGUGCUAGGUGUAGAGGGUAUCGACCCCUUCUGUGCCGCAGUUAACACAAUAAAGCACUCCGCCUGGGGAGUACGGCCGCAAAGGUUGAAACUUAAAUGAAUUGAC